rnacentral:rRNA from 1 species
UACGAAGGGGGCAAGCGUUGUUCGGAAUUACUGGGCGUAAAGGGUUCGUAGGCGGCUUACUAAGUCAGACGUGAAAUCCCUCGGCUUAACCGGGGAACUGCGUCUGAUACUGGAUGGCUAGAGGUUGGGAGAGGGAUGCGGAAUUCCAGGUGUAGCGGUGAAAUGCGUAGAUAUCUGGAGGAACACCGGUGGCGAAGGCGGCAUCCUGGACCAACACUGACGCUGAGGAGCGAAAGCCAGGGGAGCAAACGGG